GAUGAACGCUGGCGGCGUGCCUAAUACAUGCAAGUCGAACGCUGAAGGAGGAGCUUGCUCUUCUGGAUGAGUUGCGAACGGGUGAGUAACGCGUAGGUAACCUGCCUGGUAGCGGGGGAUAACUAUUGGAAACGAUAGCUAAUACCGCAUGACAACAGUUAUUGCAUGAUAACUGUUUAAAAGGGGCAACUGCUCCACUACCAGAUGGACCUGCGUUGUAUUAGCUAGUUGGUGAGGUAACGGCUCACCAAGGCGACGAUACAUAGCCGACCUGAGAGGGUGAUCGGCCACACUGGGACUGAGACACGGCCCAGACUCCUACGGGAGGCAGCAGUAGGGAAUCUUCGGCAAUGGACGGAAGUCUGACCGAGCAACGCCGCGUGAGUGAAGAAGGUUUUCGGAUCGUAAAGCUCUGUUGUAAGAGAAGAACGAGUGUGAGAGUGGAAAGUUCACACUGUGACGGUAGCUGACCAGAAAGGGACGGCUAACUACGUG
rnacentral:rRNA from 1 species